AGAGUUUGAUUCUGGCUCAGGAUGAACGCUGGCGGCGUGCCUAACACAUGCAAGUCGAACGGAGCAGUUAAUUGAGAACUUCGGUUGGAUAUUGAAUUCGCUUAGUGGCGGACGGGUGAGUAACGCGUGAGCAAUCUGCCUUUCAGAGGGGGAUAACAGUCGGAAACGACUGCUAAUACCGCAUGAAAUCAUAGUACGGCAUCGUACAAUGAUCAAAGGAGCAAUCCGCUGAAAGAUGAGCUCGCGUCCCAUUAGCUAGUUGGUGAGGUAACGGCCCACCAAGGCAACGAUGGGUAGCCGGACUGAGAGGUUGAACGGCCUCAUUGGGACUGAGACACGGCCCAGACUCCUACGGGAGGCAGCAGUGGGGAAUAUUGCGCAAUGGGGGGAAAAACCCCCUGACGCAGCAACGCCGCGUGAAGGAUGAAGGUUUUCGGAUUGUAAACUUCUUUAAUUAGGGACGAAAUUUUGACGGUACCUAAAGAAUAAGCUCCGGCUAACUACGUGCCAGCAGCAGC
rnacentral:rRNA from 1 species